UACCGAGGGGGCAAGCGUUGUUCGGAAUUACUGGGCGUAAAGGGCGCGUAGGCGGCCCGCUAAGUCGAACGUGAAAUCCCCGAGCUCAACUCGGGAACUGCGUCCGAUACUGGUGGGCUUGAAUCCGGGAGAGGGAUGCGGAAUUCCAGGUGUAGCGGUGAAAUGCGUAGAUAUCUGGAGGAACACCGGUGGCGAAGGCGGCAUCCUGGACCGGCAUUGACGCUGAGGCGCGAAAGCUAGGGGAGCAAACAGG
rnacentral:rRNA from 1 species